ACACAUGCAAGUCGAGGGGCAGCGGGUUGAAAGCUUGCUUUCAAUGCCGGCGACCGGCGCACGGGUGCGUAACGCGUAUCAAACCUGCCUCAUACUCGGGGAUAGGCUUGCGAAAGUAAGAUUAAUACCCGAUGUUGUUGCUUUCUCGCAUGGGAGAGUAACCAAAGAUUUAUCGGUAUGAGAUGGUGAUGCGUCCGAUUAGGUAGUAGGCGGGGUAACGGCCCACCUAGCCUUCGAUCGGUAGGGGUUCUGAGAGGAAGGUCCCCCAUACUGGAACUGAGACACGGUCCAGACUCCUACGGGAGGCAGCAGUGAGGAAUAUUGGUCAAUGGGCGAGAGCCUGAACCAGCCAAGUAGCGUGCAGGAUGACGGCCCUCCGGGUUGUAAACUGCUUUUAGUUGGGAAUAAAAAAAGGGACUUGUCCCUUCCUGUAUGUACCUUCAGAAAAAGGACCGGCUAAUUCCGUGCCAGCAGCCGCGGUAAUACGGAAGGUCCAGGCGUUAUCCGGAUUUAUUGGGUUUAAAGGGAGCGUAGGCGGAUUGUUAAGUCAGCGGUUAAAGGGUGUGGCUCAACCAUACAUUGCCGUUGAAACUGGCGAUCUUGAGUGCAGACAGGGAUGCCGGGAUUCGUGGUGUAGCGGUGAAAUGCUUAGAUAUCACGAAGAACUCCGAUCGCGAAGGCAGGUGUCCGGGCUGCAACUGACGCUGAGGCUCGAAAGUGUGGGUAUCAAACAGGAUUAGAUACCCUGGUAGUCCACACAGUAAACGAUGUAUACUCGCGGUUUGCGAUAGACAGUAAGCCGCCAAGCGAAAGCAUUAAGUAUACCACCUGGGGAGUA
rnacentral:rRNA from 1 species